GAGUUUGAUCUUGGCUCAGAUUGAACGCUGGCGGCAUGCCUUACACAUGCAAGUCGAACGGCAGCACGGGAGCUUGCUCCUGGUGGCGAGUGGCGAACGGGUGAGUAAUGCAUCGGAACGUAUCCUGGAGUGGGGGAUAACGUAGCGAAAGUUACGCUAAUACCGCAUAUUCUGUGAGCAGGAAAGCGGGGGACCUUCGGGCCUCGCGCUCUUGGAGCGGCCGAUGUCGGAUUAGCUAGUUGGUGAGGUAAAGGCUCACCAAGGCGACGAUCCGUAGCAGGUCUGAGAGGAUGAUCUGCCACACUGGAACUGAGACACGGUCCAGACUCCUACGGGAGGCAGCAGUGGGAAUUUUGGACAAUGGGGGCAACCCUGAUCCAGCCAUGCCGCGUGAGUGAAGAAGGCCUCGGUUGUAAGUCUACUUCGUCGACGGGAAGAAAGUUAGUACGACCGGUACCG
rnacentral:rRNA from 1 species